CCAAAAAUAGAAGUAACACUCAGAAGAAUGCAGCUCCUCGAGGACUUACAAAUUCCAGCUACCAAAAACACAGAGGUUGGUAUGCUGGGGCAUCUCUGCUGAGGAUAUUGUGUGAAAGCCAUUAAUGCUUCAUCUGGAAUGUAAAUCUAUGCCGUUCAAAUGGGAUUUAAGUAAGUAUUUCGAGGCAGGACUUCAGUUCCUGGCUGGAACCAGUUUUAACUGGUUGUGCAAUUUUCAUGGUCAUUUUUAUAUUUGCUUUCUUGCUCGAAGCCUGGAGUUAUUUGCCCUGCACUACCUGCAUGGCUUGGUAUGGCUGGAAUGGGUCCCGAGGCGAGGAAGGAAAUGGGGCCUCGUCCCCCCAGCCUUCCUCCUCCUCCUUGCCCUGUCAGAACCUCUCUGAACAGCAGGAUCCUGGGCAAUUGCACUGCUCACAAACUCAGAGUGGACACGGACACUGCAGUGUGUGCCACUUUAAGGACUAACACCAUCUGAGUGGUGGGAAGAAAGGCACAGAUAGAAGGAAAGCGAUGUCAUUUGUGUCUUAUGCUACAUCAGCUCACUUUGUCUCCCAGCUUUUCUUUGCUCCCCCAGCUAUUCAAGGACUUUGAAGAGAAAAGCUCUCAUUUGCCUGAAAUAUUCUGGAAACAGGUUUCUGUGGCAAACUACAAAUUACAUUUAGUAAUUUCUCCAAAAAAAAAAAUGUUUAAAAGCCUCAAUAUUGGUCAGUGUUGGUCAAUAACCCAUUGGUCAGUGGUUUUCUUUACUGUAAACAAAUGACAGAAAUCACCAAAUGAGAAAGGAAAAAACUAACAGAGAACCACUUGCUCUUUGGCUUCUGAUACGAUAUUUGAAGAACAAUAGGGCACAAGAAUGAGGAAGAGGUGAGCUAGGAGCUGUACAUGUGAGCACAUGGGAUGGGCUGUGCUGGAAAGCCCAGUGCACAGACGCACUGUGUCUCUGCGGUGAGUCUCAUCCAGCUGCCUGGAAACUGCAUGCAAGCCAAGCCAGAUUGAAACUACAUUGUACAAAACAGACUCCGUAGCUGGUGGAGCAGGUCAGCUGGGUAACAGCAGAGAGAUUUUCUCUCUUGUUGCAUUGGAAGUAGGUAUAACUUCAUUUCUGAUGUCCGGAGUCCCACUGCCACAGAACCACCGCAGAAGGGAUGUGAAUAUGGCACAGCAAUUACCUUCUGUGCAGGUAGGAUGGACACCCUGGGAUGGAGAAAGCCUUACAUGUAUCAGAAAGAAACUGGGCUCCUCCAAGUCUCAGUGAACAAGCAGAAGUGAUCAAGCCACCUUUGGAAAGUAAGACUGGGCUUGGUCUUGCUCCUUUUUAUUACAAAAUAUUAAGCCUUAUAACCAAUGCAACCAAGACAGCCGGUGGUUCAUCUUCAUUUUUGUACUGCUCCUGUUUAGACCUGAGGACAGGGAUGCUUUCCUGUGUUUGGAGCUUCAGUGUGACUUGGCUGCUAGUGGGCUUUAUCCCACCUUAUGCCUUCACUGUCUCUUUUCAUUAACUGGUAAAAUGAGAGCAGUCAUAUGUGCUGUACACUACAGAUACAGUUUCCAUUAAAUAUCAGCUUGAAACACACCACCCUUCAAAUUUAAGUUAUAAGAGCAUUUGAGUGCAAAUUGACAUGUUUUAUCCAUUAAAGUAUCUAAUCCUCCAUUUAAUGCUACUGUACCGCUGGUGCUACUGUUAUAAAGUACUUCUUUUGCUCAAGGUUUGGUCCCUCCUCUGUUGACACUGAUAACAAAGUCUACAUGAAUUUUCAUGGUACAGGAAUAGGAUUGUUCACUACAAGAUGCAUUGCCAUGUUUAGUCCGCACGUGGGCAAAAAUAAAUGAAUAAAUAAAAACAACUACUGUAUCU
ensembl:lncRNA